UUGUAAAGGUUAAUUAGUUUGGGUGAAGUUGCAUGCCAAGGCCAUUCAGGUGGGAUUUCUUUGAAGCAACUAAGAGUAUUGCCAUUUCCCCCCUAUUGGGAUGCAAGUUUGUCAUGAAGUCAAGCCCUGCAGUGUGUUGCUGAUUCCCAUUUAUACACUUGAGAUGAGAGAUAUUAAGCCAAGUUUCUUUUCCAAAGGGAACAACUUUGCAACAAGGCCUGAUUUACAACCAGCCUUUCAGUCUGACCACCUCACCUUCCAUUCAGAGUUUCCAAGGAAACAAGAUUGAGUUUUAUUUUGGUGAUGCAAAUCUUUCAAAAGACCGUUUUAUGAAACAAGAAAUCACCAAGCAUCCUGAAGGGUAUGUUUUAAUUUCAAUCAUUGCCAGCUUUAACCGCAUCAGGCAGACCACUGAUGAUGUUAAACUUGUUAUCAAGGCCAUGAAGAUGUCUUCUUUGCUUGAGGUACUG